rnacentral:lncRNA from 1 species
CACCGGGCUGCCCCGCAGCGCUCGGCCCGCGGCGGAGGGCGAAGUCGGGCGCUCGGUCGUGAUUCAGCGCUUCUGUUUUUAACCGGCCCGUGCCCGGUUCGGUGUCGCGGGGAUGAAGGGCUCCCAGCGCCGCGCCGGUGCCUCGUUGGGCGUUCGGAGCGAACGUGAGGCUUUGCGCUCGGAGGGAAAACCCGGUUUAAAACGAAAGCCCCUCCGCAGCGCUUUCCCCACCUCCCGCGCACGCUGUGGUGGAGAGAGGGGCAGAACGGCGGUGUUUCCCUUUGGACGACGAGCGCCGGCUGACGGCCCGCCGCCCCCAGGCACUGCCACGGCACCACAGAUGGCCUCAGCUGUGCCGGGGGAGGAACGGGUUGGGUGUCAGGAAGCGUUUCUUGCCACAAAGACCAGUGGUGCUGUCAGCGCUGGGCACCUGCGUGAGGAAACGCCGGCGCAGUUGUCAGGAGAGCGUGGAAAGAAGAUAUUUAUCGCAUUAGCCCUGCACGAUCAAGGAGAAGGCUGGCUGUUUGAGGAUGCUUUAUUAAUGAAUGCUAGAGGACAUCUUCACCCCUCCUAAGGCACAAAUUGGGGAGGUAGUCGGCCCUGAAGCCGUGGAAUUCCCUCGCACGAAGAAGAGGGUUUUUAAACCCAAAGGCACAAUCCAUGCAGGCACUCCACCACAGGCAUCUUAGUUUCUCAAACCAGCCCCCAGAAGGGAGGGGGACAAACCCAAACAAAGUGAAAUAUCAUCUGCUGCUGCCAGCCACGCAUCCCCUCCCUACCUGGUGCUUAAUGCGAUAAUGAACCUUCCCGGAGGAGCUUUUGUGGUUUAGGGCUUACUGAAUAAUAAUGCAGUGCAGAACGCACACAAAGCCACAUUUCUGUCUCGUUUCUUUUUCUUUCCUUCCCCUCCCCCCAGCCCCAAAUACACAUCUGAUCAAAAGUCAGCCUGCAAUUAAAAAGAAGCACAGUUUGC